rnacentral:rRNA from 1 species
AAUCCAUAGGUUAAUGAGGCGAACCGGGGGAACUGAAACAUCUAAGUACCCCGAGGAAAAGAAAUCAACCGAGAUUCCCCCAGUAGCGGCGAGCGAACGGGGAGGAGCCCAGAGCCUGAAUCAGCAUGUGUGUUAGUGGAAGCGUCUGGAAAGGCGCGCGAUACAGGGUGACAGCCCCGUACACAAAAGCGCAUGUGCUGUGAGCUCGAUGAGUAGGGCGGGACACGUGGUAUCCUGUCUGAAUAUGGGGGGACCAUCCUCCAAGGCUAAAUACUCCUGACUGACCGAUAGUGAACCAGUACCGUGAGGGAAAGGCGAAAAGAACCCCGGCGAGGGGAGUGAAAAAGAACCUGAAACCGUGUACGUACAAGCAGUGGGAGCACCCUUUGGGUGUGACUGCGUACCUUUUGUAUAAUGGGUCAGCGACUUAUAUUCUGUAGCAAGGUUAACCGAAUAGGGGAGCCGGAGGGAAACCGAGUCUUAAUUGGGCGUUAAGUUGCAGGGUAUAGACCCGAAACCCGGUGAUCUAGCCAUGGGCAGGUUGAAGGUUGGGUAACACUAACUGGAGGACCGAACCGACUAAUGUUGAAAAAUUAGCGGAUGACCUGUGGCUGGGGGUGAAAGGCCAAUCAAACCGGGAGAUAGCUGGUUCUCCCCGAAAGCUAUUUAGGUAGCGCCUCGUGAAUUCAUCUCCGGGGGUAGAGCACUGUUUCGGCUAGGGGGCCAUCCCGGCUUACCAACCCGAUGCAAACUGCGAAUACCGGAGAAUGUUAUCACGGGAGACACACGGCGGGUGCUAACGUCCGUCGUGAAGAGGGAAACAACCCAGACCGCCAGCUAAGGUCCCAAAGUCAUGGUUAAGUGGGAAACGAUGUGGGAAGGCCCAGACAGCCAGGAUGUUGGCUUAGAAGCAGCCAUCAUUUAAAGAAAGCGUAAUAGCUCACUGGUCGAGUCGGCCUGCGCGGAAGAUGUAACGGGGCUAAACCAUGCACCGAAGCUGCGGCAGCGACACUGUGUGUUGUUGGGUAGGGGAGCGUUCUGUAAGCCUGUGAAGGUGUGUCGUGAGGCAUGCUGGAGGUAUCAGAAGUGCGAAUGCUGACAUAAGUAACGAUAAAGCGGGUGAAAAGCCCGCUCGCCGGAAGACCAAGGGUUCCUGUCCAACGUUAAUCGGGGCAGGGUGAGUCGACCCCUAAGGCGAGGCCGAAAGGCGUAGUCGAUGGGAAACGGGUUAAUAUUCCCGUACUUGGUGUUACUGCGAAGGGGGGACGGAGAAGGCUAUGUUGGCCGGGCGACGGUUGUCCCGGUUUAAGCGUGUAGGUGUGUGUUCCAGGUAAAUCCGGUUCACUUUAACACUGAGGCGUGACGACGAGGCACUACGGUGCUGAAGCAACAAAUGCCCUGCUUCCAGGAAAAGCCUCUAAGCAUCAGGUAACAUCAAAUCGUACCCCAAACCGACACAGGUGGUCAGGUAGAGAAUACCAAGGCGCUUGAGAGAACUCGGGUGAAGGAACUAGGCAAAAUGGUGCCGUAACUUCGGGAGAAGGCACGCUGACACGUAGGUGAAGUGAUUUACUCAUGGAGCUGAAGUCAGUCGAAGAUACCAGCUGGCUGCAACUGUUUAUUAAAAACACAGCACUGUGCAAACACGAAAGUGGACGUAUACGGUGUGACGCCUGCCCGGUGCCGGAAGGUUAAUUGAUGGGGUCAGCGCAAGCGAAGCUCCUGAUCGAAGCCCCGGUAAACGGCGGCCGUAACUAUAACGGUCCUAAGGUAGCGAAAUUCCUUGUCGGGUAAGUUCCGACCUGCACGAAUGGCGUAAUGAUGGCCAGGCUGUCUCCACCCGAGACUCAGUGAAAUUGAACUCGCUGUGAAGAUGCAGUGUACCCGCGGCAAGACGGAAAGACCCCGUGAACCUUUACUAUAGCUUGACACUGAACAUUGAGCCUUGAUGUGUAGGAUAGGUGGGAGGCUUUGAAGUGUGGACGCCAGUCUGCAUGGAGCCGACCUUGAAAUACCACCCUUUAAUGUUUGAUGUUCUAACGUGGACCCGUUACCCGGGUUGCGGACAGUGUCUGGUGGGUAGUUUGACUGGGGCGGUCUCCUCCUAAAGAGUAACGGAGGAGCACGAAGGUUGGCUAAUCCUGGUCGGACAUCAGGAGGUUAGUGCAAUGGCAUAAGCCAGCUUGACUGCGAGCGUGACGGCGCGAGCAGGUGCGAAAGCAGGUCAUAGUGAUCCGGUGGUUCUGAAUGGAAGGGCCAUCGCUCAACGGAUAAAAGGUACUCCGGGGAUAACAGGCUGAUACCGCCCAAGAGUUCAUAUCGACGGCGGUGUUUGGCACCUCGAUGUCGGCUCAUCACAUCCUGGGGCUGAAGUAGGUCCCAAGGGUAUGGCUGUUCGCCAUUUAAAGUGGUACGCGAGCUGGGUUUAGAACGUCGUGAGACAGUUCGGUCCCUAUCUGCCGUGGGCGCUGGAGAACUGAGGGGGGCUGCUCCUAGUACGAGAGGACCGGAGUGGACGCAUCACUGGUGUUCGGGUUGUCAUGCCAAUGGCACUGCCCGGUAGCUAAAUGCGGAAGAGAUAAGUGCUGAAAGCAUCUAAGCACGAAACUUGCCCCGAGAUGAGUUCUCCCUGAGACUUAAAGUCUCCUGAAGGAACGUUGAAGACGACGACGUUGAUAGGCCGGGUGUGUAAGCGCAGCGAUGCGUUGAGCUAACCGGUACUAAUGAACCGUGAGGCUUAACCUUACAACGCC